UACAGAGGUCUCAAGCGUUUGUUCGGAUUCAUUGGGCGUAAAGGGUGUCGUAGGUGGCGCGCUAAGUCAGGUGUGAAAUUUCGGAGCUUAACUCCGAAACUGCAUUUGAUACUGGUGUGCUUGAGGACUGGAGAGGAGACUGGAAUUCAUGGUGUAGCAGUGAAAUGCGUAGAGAUCAUGAGGAAGACCAGUGGCGAAGGCGGGUCUCUGGACAGUUCCUGACACUGAGGCACGAAGGCCAGGGGAGCAAACGGG
rnacentral:rRNA from 1 species